GCAUAUGCUGGUUUUUUCAACAGGGCGCUCACCAAACUUACAGCGUUUGACGUAAUAAAGGGGUGCAAGAGAAAGAAAAAGAAGCCGGAAGGAUUUUGAAACUGAUAUUUCAAGACAUACGUGAACAGAACAAUCCCAAUCAGAAAGGCUGAUGCAGGAACUGUGUAGAGUAUCCAAUCAGCAUCAGAAAGAAGACCUUGAUGUACACGCAAAGAUGGGCAAACCAGAAUUGACAGUGAAAGAGAGGAGGAGAAAGA